rnacentral:pre_miRNA from 1 species
UUUUUAGUACAAGUAUGUCUCAUGCAAUAUUAGGAACCAUGUAGUAUUUGAGACAUACUUAUGCUAAAA